rnacentral:lncRNA from 1 species
UGGUGGGAAAUUCCUUGAUUAUGCCAAUAUCGCCUAGGGAUAGGGGUAGGAUGGUCAAUUGUAGUUGCUUCCGAUCGCAUUGCAUUAUUGGUUACUAGGGGAGGCUAGGGAUAACAAGUCGGUAAUUAAUAAUAGGCUCUUUUCACCAAGGGAUUGCGUUAAGGGUAAAUAAGAAAGUGUGCAUGGCAAGUAGAUAAAUAAGUGAAGUAAAUAAGAAGAAUAGAUAUAUGAGAGUGGAUAAGAUGAAAUUGUAAACCCCAACAACACCAUUCAUCCAAAGUUUCUCAAAACCAAUUGAAUCAACUGCAUUGCAUGUUUAUUUUUUUUCUUCUCAUAUAACCACCAAAUUUAUUC